GGGUCUACAUGCUCAAACC
rnacentral:siRNA from 1 species